GGGCAGCCGAGAGGAGUCUCCCGGUGCCGCGGCGGCGGCGUCAGAGCCACUGCGAGCGACGAGCGCGCCGGACGCGGUGGGGCCGCAUCUCCUCGGCCGCCACUGCCGCUGCGGGGCCACGAACAAAGAGGAGGAGCCGCGGCGCGAGAGCAAAGUCUGAAAUGGAUGUUACAUGAAUCACUUUAAGGGAUGCACACAACUAUGAACAUUUCUGAAGCUUUUUCUGCAGUAAACUAGAGAAAGAUGGAUGAAUCUGCCUUGUUGGAUCUUCUGGAGUGUCCUGUGUGUCUAGAGCGGCUUGAUGCUUCUGCAAAGGUCUUGCCUUGCCAGCAUACCUUUUGCAAACGAUGUUUGCUGGGGAUUGUAGGUUCCCGAAAUGAACUCAGAUGUCCUGAGUGCAGGACUCUCGUUGGCUCGGGUGUUGAGGAGCUUCCAAGUAACAUCUUGCUAGUCAGACUCCUGGAUGGCAUCAAGCAGAGGCCUUGGAAACCUGGCCCUGGUGGGGGCAGUGGGACGAACUGCACAAAUGCAUUAAGGGCUCAGAGCAGCACGGUGGCUAAUUGUAGCUCAAAAGAUCUGCAGAGCUCCCAGGGUGGACAGCAGCCACGGGUGCAAGCCUGGAGCCCCCCAGUGAGGUUGAGCACAAAUGAAGAGCUUAAGUAUGCAAGGGGUAUACCUCAGUUACCAUGUGCCAAAGCAUUAUACAACUACGAAGGGAAAGAGCCUGGAGACCUUAAGUUCAGCAAAGGUGACAUCAUCAUCUUGCGACGACAAGUGGAUGAAAAUUGGUACCAUGGAGAAGUCAACGGGAUCCAUGGCUUUUUCCCCACCAACUUUGUGCAGAUUAUCAAACCAUUACCUCAGCCCCCACCUCAGUGCAAAGCACUUUAUGACUUUGAAGUGAAAGACAAGGAAGCAGACAAAGAUUGCCUUCCGUUUGCAAAGGAUGAUGUUCUGACUGUGAUCCGUAGAGUGGAUGAAAACUGGGCUGAAGGAAUGUUAGCAGACAAAAUAGGAAUAUUUCCAAUUUCAUAUGUUGAGUUCAACUCAGCUGCCAAGCAGCUGAUAGAAUGGGAUAAGCCUCCUGUGCCAGGAGUUGAUGCUGGGGAAUGUACCUCGGCGGCAGCCCAGAGCAGCACUGCCCCAAAGCACUCCGACACCAAGAAGAACACCAAAAAGCGGCACUCCUUCACUUCCCUCACCAUGGCCAGCAAAUCCUCCCAGGCGUCCCAGAACCGCCACUCCAUGGAGAUCAGCCCGCCUGUCCUCAUCAGCUCCAGCAACCCCACAGCUGCCGCUCGCAUCAGUGAGCUGUCCGGGCUGUCCUGCAGUGCCCCUUCUCAGGUUCACAUAAGUACCACUGGGUUAAUUGUGACCCCACCCCCAAGCAGCCCAGUGACCACUGGCCCUUCCUUCACUUUCCCGUCAGAUGUUCCCUACCCGGCUGCCCUUGGAACUAUGAAUCCUCCUCUUCCCCCGCCCCCUCUCCUGGCCUCCACACCUCCGGGCGCUGCUGCUGUUGCUGCUGCUGCUGCUGCUGCUGGGAUGGGACCGAGGCCCAGCGCAGGACCCACAGAGCAGAUUGCACAUUUACGGCCUCAGACUCGCCCCAGUGUGUAUGUUGCUAUAUAUCCAUACACUCCCCGGAAAGAGGAUGAGCUGGAGCUGAGAAAAGGGGAGAUGUUUUUAGUGUUUGAGCGUUGCCAAGAUGGCUGGUUCAAAGGGACUUCGAUGCACACCAGCAAGAUCGGGGUUUUCCCUGGCAAUUACGUGGCACCAGUCACGAGGGCGGUGACAAAUGCUUCCCAAGCUAAAGUCCCUAUGUCUACUGCUGGUCAGACAAGUCGAGGGGUGACCAUGGUCAGUCCUUCCACCGCAGGAGGGCCUGCCCAGAAGCUCCAGGGCAAUGGUAUGGCUGCGAGUCCCAGUGUUGUCCCCACAGCAGUGGUGUCAGCAGCUCAUAUCCAGACCAGCCCUCAGGCUAAGGUCUUGUUGCACAUGACUGGGCAAAUGACAGUCAACCAGGCCCGCAAUGCUGUGAGGACAGUUGCAGCACACAACCAAGAACGCCCUACAGCAGCGGUGACACCCAUCCAGGUACAGAAUGCCGCCUGCCUGGGCCCUGCGUCUGUGGGCCUGCCCCACCAUUCCUUGGCCUCCCCACAACCUCCGCCUUCAAUGGCAGGCCCUGCCACCCACGUUGCUGCCGUCAAUAUGGGUCGAGUCAAUGUCCCCCUGGCCUGUGCUGCAGCUGCUUCGCUGACCUCCCCGAACAUCACCGCUGCCUCUCUGGAGACUGAGCCCAGUGGCCGAACAGUGACCAUUCUCCCCGGACUUCCCACCUCUCCUGACAGUGCUUCAUCAGCUUGUGGGAACAGUUCAGCAACCAAGCCAGACAAGGACAGUAAAAAAGAAAAAAAGGGUUUGUUGAAGUUGCUUUCUGGCGCCUCCACUAAACGUAAGCCCCGAGUGUCCCCUCCAGCCUCACCUACCCUGGAAGUGGAGCUGGGUGGCGGCGAGUUGCCUCUGCAGGGAGCGGUGGGUCCUGAGCUGCCACUAGGGGGCGCCCACGGCAGGGCAGGCUCCUGCCCCGCGGAUGGGGAUGGCCCGCCCACAGCGGGGGCUGCAGGCGCGGCUCUGGCCCAGGAUGCUCUUCACCGCAAGGCCAGCUCCCUGGACUCGGCUGUUCCCAUCGCUCCACCUCCUCGUCAGCCGUGCUCCUCCCUGGGCGCUGUCGUGAAUGAGUCUAGGCCUGUUGUUUGUGAAAGGCACAGGGUUGUGGUUUCCUAUCCUCCUCAGAGUGAGGCAGAACUUGAACUUAAAGAAGGAGAUAUUGUGUUUGUUCAUAAAAAAAGAGAGGAUGGAUGGUUCAAAGGCACGUUACAGCGUAAUGGGAAAACUGGCCUUUUCCCAGGAAGCUUUGUGGAAAACAUCUGAGGAGACGAACAUGGAGAACGCUUAAAGUCACAUCACACAACAAAAUAGCACAAAGUAAUUUAAUGGAAAGAGCACAUUUGUGGACGUCCAGAUGGACAGGUGAUGAGCAAAGGAUUGGCGUGUGACCCCAGUGCCCCCCAGCACAGUUAGACCAGCGAGGAGUGUGAAGAAGACGUGUGUGUGGGUGUUAUCGCUCUGGAUUCUGAUGUGUAAGCCUGCAAUGUAGACGUGAUGGCUGGUACUCCAGCAAUGAUCUUGAGCCAUAAAGUGAACUUUAAGAUGGAAGCCACAUUUUAAAUAUGGUGGAGGAGAAAGAAAGAAGGAGCUUGAGACCCUGAUAAACUUGCAGCCUUCAUGCCAACCUGAACUACUGAUCUGCAGAUAGGAUUUAGGCUCCAAUCAUGACAAUGAUGAGAUGCCAGGCCAUUUUCCCUGCUAUACUGGACAAAAAUUUGGCCACAGGGAAGAAGAGAACUCAUGUAUUCUUACAAGUCAUCCAUGAAGAAAACUACAGGGAAAGAGUGGUAAAUGUGAGCCACUAGAAGAAUGGAGAUGUGUUGGUGAUUUUCCAUGUUUCCUCCACUGGAAAGAGAAAUCAGUGGACUUGACCUGCAAAACCCCAGACUAGAGGAGGAAUUGCGACUCCAGUGGUCCCAAGAGGCUAAAAAGGAGGGAUACAGUCACCAUGACUUUUAAAAUCUCUGAUUACUCAUCUCUCAGAGUAAAAUUUGGGACUCAAAUGCUUUCAUGAAAAUGAAACAGACUUUAGGAGGUCUGCUUUCGGGGGUGCUCCAAGAGCUGAAUAUUACAUUUUAUUUGUUCCAGAAAGUUCUGGCAACUUGGUACAGCAAAUUCGAUUGGCACCAUACGCCCGACCUGUCUCAGUAAUGGUGUCGUGUGUGUGAUGAGGACUGCAAAGCAGCAUGUGUUCGUGGAGGAAAUGACAGGCACAGGAAGGAAAAGCUGAGAACACAGAGACUGUUCCUAAUUGUGCAGUGAGAAAAAGGAGGCUACUGCCUGGCAGGGUGGCAUGUUGGCUGAAAGAGGGGGGUGAUCAGCAGGGCUGGCAGGAAGAGGGUAGACUUGUGUGAGCUGACAGAAGAGGCAGCAAUCUGGAGGAGUCUCAGCUUGCAAAGCCCUGAGAGAAAGGGAUUUCAUUUCUGCCCAUGUGGGAGCUGGUGGGAGGCCCAAAGGAAGCUUUCGUGGGAACUAUAGAAAGAGCUGUGGGCUCCAGAGGGGAUGAGCUGUGAACUAGAUGCUGUUUUCAAAGGCUUGAAAGUCAGAGGCAAGUUUGCUUCAGUUUGUUGAAAGAUACUUUAUUGGGAGGAUUUCCACUUAGGUUCUGGCCUGAAAGAAAUAUCUACUCUUCUUCCUCUAUCAAGAUUCCUUCUCCUUGCAGAAGUCUAAAGCUCACAGGUGGUCCUCAGGGACACAUUUCUUUCAAGUGGGAUUACUGGUGUAUUUGGUCUGAAAAGCUGAUUUACUGCAACAUUGCUGUCACCACAUUGGGCCUACCAUGUGGUUGGUGUGGCUGAUGUUUAUCAGACGGUGGUGUUUCCAACGUAGGCCUGAAUGAAAGAUGAAGCUGAGGUCAGAGAUGUUUGUCAGCUUUGAGAAAUGCUGAAUUUUCCAAAGCAUAAGCCUUAGACAGACUAUUGUGAGCCUGCAUAAAGGGGCUUUCGUUGACUUGUCCAAAGGAAGGGAACACAAAGUUGGAAACCUGUGGAGGGCUUGGAGGAGUUGUCACUGGGGAGCUCUUUUCCCACCUUCCCCAGGUGAUGCAGGCCGACACAUAGCCCUGGGAGGAGAAUAGUGGUCCCUAAGACUCACAGCAUGGUUUGAUGUGUUUUCUCAGAAAGGCACCAUGGCAGUUAAGUGACAUGGUGACCCUCUCCCUGGAACCAAGCCUGAGCUUAGGGGCACAAUGUGGGGGUGGAUGUAAAGGAAGUUCCUCUGUUACUGUGCUUGGAUUAUAAGUAAUUGUCAACAUGGGAGCAUGCUGAUUUCUAACCAUCAGUGGUGGAUCUGUGACUUCCCAAGCUGGCGGCUGACCUCAAGAGGACUGUUAUAGACAUUGUGGGACCCACAGCAUGAGAAAAGAAUUACUACCUCCCUUUCUAUCCCAUGACCUCUAACAGUCUGGUCACCACCAUGGCCUUUUGUUCUUGGAGGGGACAGGAACUUUGGAGAGUGGGGUCACUCCAUUGCUUCUGUGGGUCAUCUUCCCAGACUAGCCUAAGCCUCAGAAUCUCAGUCUUCAGCUCUGUUUUGCAGAUCUGUUUUUAGAAGUUUUUUUUAAAAAAUUAUGAACUACUGUGUUUCAAGCAUAUAGAAAAGUGCAGAAAAUAAUAUAAUAGAUAACCAAGUAUCUACCAUCCAGAUUUAACAAAUACAAACAUUUUGCCUCAUCUGUAUCAGAUAUUUUUAAAAAUUGGAGAUGGAUUUCAAACCUCUGCAUAUCUAUUUUUAGUAGAUGGAAAAGCAUAAACAAGUUUAAUUCUACUAAGCUGCUGGCUAUACAUAGCAGCUUCCUCUUCAAAUAAUGGAAACUUUGUGGAUUCACGCACAGCACUGAAGUCCUAGCAAUCUGCUUCAACCAGAAAGAUCGUCAAUAAAGCGUUUGUCUCAA